rnacentral:miRNA from 1 species
AGGUUCUGUGGUACACUUGGAC